rnacentral:lncRNA from 1 species
CGACCUCUCCAAGUUACAGCCCCACUUCUCCCAGUUACAGUCCAACUUCACCAAGCUAUAGCCCCACCUCACCGGCAUAUAGCCCCACCUCACCUGCAUAUAGCCCCACCUCACCUGCAUACAGCCCCACUUCACCAUCGUACAGCCCAACCUCUCCUUCCUACAGCCCAACAUCACCUUCGUACAGCCCUACCUCACCGUCAUACAGCCCCACUUCUCCAUCGUACAGCCCCACUUCACCAGCCUAUAGCCCCACUUCUCCUGGUUAUAGUCCAACUUCACCAAGUUAUAGCCCAACUUCACCAACCUAUAGUCCUACAUCCCCAAGCUACAAUCCUCAGUCUGCCAAAUACAGUCCGUCGCUGGCCUACUCACCAAGUAGUCCAAGAUUAUCUCCUGCCAGUCCGUACAGCCCUACAUCUCCAAAUUACAGGUAAGCCAUAGUGCGAUAUGUGGUCAAGUCUAAUGUUUGUGUUAAAAGCUGUAUCCAAUUUAUUAGGUCUUGUUUUUGAUAGAAUUCUAUAUACUGAAAUAUCUGUUGAACCUAAGACUUGCUGUAGCUGGGGAUUGGACUUGGAUGGGUUUAAAUUAUUAAUGAUUUUAUCUCUGUUGUUUUUAACAUUAUUAUAUCUGGAUGAUUAUGUUGAUGUAUCUUGUAAGCAACUUUUCUUUUUACGCAGUCCAACAUCAUCUUCGUAUUCACCGACAUCUCCCUCUAUGAUACUGGACCAAUGAUGAGAUGUUCAUUUGAAGAAACGGUUGACAUUCUUCUUGAUGCUGCAGUCUUUGCAGAAUCAGAUUAUUUGAGGGGGGUCACUGAGAAUAUAAUGUUAGGUCAGCUUGCGCCUAUUGGGACAGGAGACUGUUCAUUGUAUCUCAAUGAUGAGAUGCUGAAAAAUGCCAUCGAACUUCAGCUUCCUAGUUAUAUGGAAGGUCUGGAGUUUGGCAUGACACCUGCUCGUUCUCCGGUGUCUGGGACUCCUUAUCAUGAUGGCAUGAUGUCUCCAGGUUACUUGUUUAGCCCAAAUCUCCGUCUGUCCCCGGUCACGGAUGCCCAGUUUUCUCCUUAUGUUGGUGGAAUGGCCUUCUCUCCUACUUCAUCACCCGGAUACAGCCCAUCAUCACCAGGCUACAGUCCGUCAUCUCCUGGAUACAGUCCCACGUCACCUGGAUACAGCCCAACUUCGCCUGGAUACAGUCCCACCUCGCCUGGAUAUAGCCCUACCUCACCAACUUAUAGUCCAAGUUCUCCUGGUUAUAGUCCAACCAGUCCUGCCUAUUCUCCUACCAGUCCAUCGUACUCACCUACUUCACCAAGCUAUAGCCCAACCUCCCCAAGUUACAGCCCAACAUCCCCAAGCUACAGCCCGACCUCUCCAAGUUACAGCCCCACUUCUCCCAGUUACAGUCCAACUUCACCAAGCUAUAGCCCCACCUCACCGGCAUAUAGCCCCACCUCACCUGCAUAUAGCCCCACCUCACCUGCAUACAGCCCCACUUCACCAUCGUACAGCCCAACCUCUCCUUCCUACAGCCCAACAUCACCUUCGUACAGCCCUACCUCACCGUCAUACAGCCCCACUUCUCCAUCGUACAGCCCCACUUCACCAGCCUAUAGCCCCACUUCUCCUGGUUAUAGUCCAACUUCACCAAGUUAUAGCCCAACUUCACCAACCUAUAGUCCUACAUCCCCAAGCUACAAUCCUCAGUCUGCCAAAUACAGUCCGUCGCUGGCCUACUCACCAAGUAGUCCAAGAUUAUCUCCUGCCAGUCCGUACAGCCCUACAUCUCCAAAUUACAGGUAAGCCAUAGUGCGAUAUGUGGUCAAGUCUAAUGUUUGUGUUAAAAGCUGUAUCCAAUUUAUUAGGUCUUGUUUUUGAUAGAAUUCUAUAUACUGAAAUAUCUGUUGAACCUAAGACUUGCUGUAGCUGGGGAUUGGACUUGGAUGGGUUUAAAUUAUUAAUGAUUUUAUCUCUGUUGUUUUUAACAUUAUUAUAUCUGGAUGAUUAUGUU